GGGCAUUUUAGUAAUUUCUAAGGGAGUGGAUAAGCUUGGGCCACAAAUAUCCUCUCCUUCUAGCAACUUCUUGGGAUUUCUAGCAGCUUCUUCUUCUUGUUCUCUUCCCUCUUACGUUUCUUCAAUUCCUCCAUGGAAGCUUGAUGUGAAGCUUUCAUAACUUUCUUUCUCUAGUUCUAAUUUUCAUAUCUUGGUGGCAUUUUGACUAGAACCCUUGUAUUCUUCCACUCUUUCACUUUAAAAUCCUUGAAAAUGAUGAAAAUCUUGUUUCCAUAAUCUCUCACUAGUUAGGUGUUUUAGGGAGAGAAAAAGGAAGUUUUAUUAAUAGCUUGAGCUUUUGGAAAGAAGUUCAAAGUUACAAAGCUAUCAAGGUGCUAACGAAGCCCCAUCACCCUAAUUGGAUCAUUAAGGGGAUUCAGAGUCGGCUAAAGGCUCAACGAAUAUUGAUUAAGAAACAGCUGGUAACUAGGAUGAGGUGUCCUCAUG